rnacentral:rRNA from 1 species
AACGAACGCUGGCGGCAUGCCUAACACAUGCAAGUCGAACGAAGGCUUCGGCCUUAGUGGCGCGCGGGUGCGUAACGCGUGGGAAUCUGCCCUUAGGUUCGGAAUAACAGUUAGAAAUGACUGCUAAUACCGGAUGAUGACGUAAGUCCAAAGAUUUAUCGCCUGAGGAUGAGCCCGCGUAGGAUUAGCUAGUUGGUGUGGUAAAGGCGCACCAAGGCGACGAUCCUUAGCUGGUCUGAGAGGAUGAUCAGCCACACUGGGACUGAGACACGGCCCAGACUCCUACGGUAGGCAGCAGUGGGGAAUAUUGGACAAUGGGCGCAAGCCUGAUCCAGCAAUGCCGCGUGAGUGAUGAAGGCCUUAGGGUUGUAAAGCUCUUUUACCCGUGAUGAUAAUGACAGUAGCGGGAGAAUAAGCCCCGGCUAACUCCGUG